CAGGUUAUUUUUUCCAGGUACUGAACAAUGAGGAAAAUUUUCAUUUUUAACUAAAAAAUCUUAAUAAGAAAGGAAGACAUGCUUAUUGCAUAAAAGUUAAGGCAGUUUUCAAGGUGCCAAGUAAAAAUGGAAAGUCUUUACACUCCUCUUUCUUCCCUGUUCCUGUGAUAGAGGGGUGGUUCAUGACCUAGAACUUGGAAAAACCUUUUUUUUACUCUCCCAGGCCAACAAUACUACCCAUCAGCUUUCUAAAAACUGAAAAGAUAUUUCAGCAAAGAAUGUAUAUUUGAUAAAAGGGCUACGGCGCAGUGCCUGGACAAUUCUAUCCCUUGCACGGUCCUCACCACGAUAAGUACAGCAUCUGCUCUGCUCUUCCACACUGUUCACUUGUUUCCAUCCCCUUGAACCGAGGCGGCCGGCGGGAUUGGUAAGAGGGACAUUGUGUCAGUUUAUGGGUAAAAACUUUGGCCUAGCGACUUCUACUUCCUGCCUUUUGGAAUACUCGUUCUUGGAACUCAGCCGCCACGCUGGGAGAAGGCCAAGUCCCGUGGAGAGGCAAGUUAGGGACUGGAACCAACAGCUUCCCGCCCACAGCCACCGAGUGUGCCAUCUUGGACCAACCCAGCCACGCCCUCAGAUAACCGUAGCCCACGCCGCUCUGUGCCUACAGCUGCAUGACAGUACCAAGCAAGGACUCCCCUCCUGAGCCCAGGCUACCCAGGGGCCAUGAGAAGUAAUAAUUUCAUUAGUGUCCAAGGACUGCCAUCACCAGCUAACAAGCUGGGGAGCUUAUACAACAGAAAUCAUGUUUUUUUACUGUUCUGGGGACUAGGAGUCCAAAAAUAAGAUGUCAGCAGCAUUGGCUCCUUCUGAGGGCCACGAAGGCGAGUCUGUGCCAGGCUUUUCUCUUUGGCUAGUACCCAGCGGUCUUCUCCGUUCGUCCUAUCCCCUUCCUUCCACGCAUGUCUCUGUGUCCAAAUUUCCCCUUUUUAAUAGGACGCCAGUCGUACGGGCGGAGGCUCUCACCCUAAUGACCUCAGUUGAACUUGCUGGCAUCUGUUAAGACCUUAUUUCCAAACAAGGUCACACUCUCAGGUACUGGGGGUUCCACAUAUGAAUUUGGAGGGGACACAGCACAACCAGUAAGAGGAAAUCGCUGUCUGGUGCCGAGGCGGUUUGUCGUAUUUCGGAAGACAACCGGGACAGGCUGUUGUGAAGACGAGAAGAAGCACACAUCUCAGGAGGCAUCAAAAUUCCCUAAAGCAUAGGAAUUGCGCUGGAUGUGGGACUGCCGAAGGCCCUGCGUGCGUGUUUCCUUGCCAGCAGCCGUCCUGUUUCCGCUCCUACAGCUUCCCUGCGUGCGCGUCUCCAGUCUUGUCUUCCGGCUGCGGCUCCACUAAGCUCCGGCCCCAACCGCCUCCUAAAAGCCACCUACUAAUUAACCUCAGCGGAUCAGGACCCUUACAUUCCGGCUCUGACUGGAUUGAGGACAGUCGCGCGACCUGAUCCUGGGCGCGGUCAGUCUGCUGGAAGCGUCUCCGGGGAAAGUUCCUCUUCGUGUGAAAGAGACACAAAGAGCCGUGAUGCGCUCUCUUCCUCCAGGGGAGGACGUGGGAACGUGGUGCCUGGGCGAGCCCGGCAAGGACACCGAGGAAUGGCGGCAGCGUCCAGGGUGUCCGCGACAUUGUGGAGUCGUCACAUGGACGCCCCUGGGGUCACUGCAGCUCACAGUUUCUCGAGUCGCAGUUCCAAAUCCCAUUACUGUUCCCGCCCUGCUGAGUUGUUCUGUCUAGUUUACCCCUGGCCUUCAAGUAGGUAGUUGACUCUUCAGGAGCUCAGAAGGCGUUUGGGAUGGAAGUAGACGUUUUUCUAAUCAUUUAAAUGCCAGUGGAUACAGGUGCUGACAGCACAGCAGUUAGAAACCGCCUAGCGCCAACCAUUACUUUUUUUAAGAUUUUAUUUAUUUGACAGACAGAGAUCACAAGUAGGCAGAGAGGCAGGUAGAGAGAGAGAGGAGGAAGCAGGCUCCCCGCAGAACGGAGAGCCCGAUGUGGGGCUCGAUCCCAGGACCUUGGGAUCAUGACCUGAACCGAAGGCAGAGGCUUUAACCCACUGAGCCACCCCGGCGCCCCGCGCCAACCGUUAUUGAAGAGGUACCGAUGUUCCGUGUGUAUACUCUCUUCAUAACGUGGUUAAAAUGGGAGCGACAGGUGCUCAUGGGCCAUGGGGGGCACGACAGCUCCUUAUGACCUCACUGAAGAUCAGUUACGAAGCACUCAUCAGAAUUCCAAUGGGAUGGGGGUGCCUGGGGGACUCAGUCGGUGAGGCGUCUGCCAUGGGCUCAAGUCUCGACCUUGGAGUUUUGGAAAUGAGCUCCACAUUGGCUCCAUGCUUGUCCCUCUCCCUUUGCCCCUCCCCCUGCUUGUGUGCACUCUCUCUGUCAAAUAAAUAAAUAAAUGAAAUUUUAAAAGAAAAAUUCCACCAGGAUAUUCACUGUAACAGUAAAACCCUGGACACUGGCAAGUAUCCACCAAUAUGGCCCCAGUUAGGUAACAACGUAUGUAUGGUUCUGCUAUACAACACAGUGAUCUGUAUAUGCUAAUUUGGAAAUGCUUGAAUAUAUUAUUAAAUGAAUAGCACAAAAUACAAAACUCUA